GAAGUCAUUAAAAAAUGAGCUUGCUCUUAAUUUAUAUUUUUCAUUCUCUUUUUACCAUUCAAAAGUAAGUAUUUUCUUACAUGUAACUUCAGCUGUUCAUAAGCUAUUGCCUGGUAUUGAUAAUGGUAAUAAUGAAAAGACUUGACUUUAAUACAACUUCUAUAAAGAAUUGGAAGAUUUUUCCCAGUAUGUACUAGGCUUUUAUUUGUAUACUGAGGACUUAAAGCUUUUACUUCUGAAUUCAUGUUUUUUGUGCACGUGAAAACUGAAUUUCAUGCUGUUCUGCAUACAGACACCUGGUUUCUUGCCCAGAUCACACUUCUAAAAUUUCACGUGUAUGUAAAUAAUAUUCUAUUUGAUGUCAUCCAUGCUUUCUAACUCACAUCAAGAGCUUUGAGAGUGAUUAAUUCUUUUUCAAGGCAAAAAAAAUAUGAAGUUUCUUCUGACAUCUCUACUCACAGCUUGGCAGCCCUGGUCACAGUUCAGGUUUAUCUCAGAACUAGCUCUUACAAAACACAGAAUACCAAGUAUAGCGGCAAGUUUACUGCUCGUCCUCAUUAUGCUUCAUUCAUGUGGUAUAUGGAAAUAGAAGAUACGAUCAACAGUAAUAGUGUAUUCCUUAAAUCCUCUUAUUAAUCCUAUAGGUCUUGAUCUGCACAAGUUUAAGGAGUUGCAGUCUGUGUGCAAAGUCCUUUACAUUCCUGUAAUGAGAAAUAAGCAGAGAGGUCCUACAAAGAUCCUAUUUCACACACAAAGAAAAAUAAUGCAGGAAGCAUUGCAUGUAUUAAAUUCUGAUUGAAGAUGUAAGCCUAAUCCAUUUUCUCCUAGAGGUUCAUCCUGGCCCACAGGACUUCACCAGCUGGAAGCAUCACUGAGCACAUGCAUGGAACACGCUGUGGUAUUGAUUUUAAAAUCUUGUCUCAGGGCCAGGAAUUUCACAACUGAAAUCCUGAAAGACAACCUUCAAGAAAAAAAACAUUUAAAUAGGAAAGAGAUGAGAGGAGAUGGACUGCAAAUACCUGAGCUGUGAAGAAAGCUGAGCUCAUGCACUGUUGGAAAUGAGAGAAAAGGAGGCUUUAUAUUUGCACAACUCAAGAGUAAAACUUCAGCACCACUUUACAACUGCUUAGACAUGAAAAUCAAUCAGCUACAGUACCUCUACCCUUAGGAAGCAGGGUUCAUUAUACCCAGCUCUUAGAGAACAUUAAUUCUCUCUGUGUGGGAUUUACUGGCUCCACCUCUACUAAUAGAUAAAACAGGUCAAAUCUUUUUCUCUGUUCAAAAUGGACAACCUGCACAGAUCUCAUUCAUACAAUUAAAAUUUCUUCUCUCACAAGUUGUGCCUGAGCUCAUAUCAUGUAAUGGGACUACCUCGUGCUCAGGAACUUUUGAGAGUGUUGGAUUUUUUUGCAUCAAAACUGCAUCAGGAACCAUGUCAAUGACUUAACAGAAUAUGGUAGCAGCUGUGCUGUGUCCUCGGCCUCUAUACUGGUAUUUAAAUUAUACCACUGUGUCAUCCCAGCUUUAGUUAUCUAAACAUAAUUCUCACCUAUAUAAGUUCUAUCCCUUCUAUAUUAGAAUAAAAUUGAUGUAAACAUGUUGCCUCUGUAUCUGCAGUGUUACAGGAGGGCUAAGUGAACCUAAUCCUGGUGACUUACACUUUUAAGAUUCUUUAAGCUUGAUUUGGAAUAGUUAGUUAGUUUUUUUGUUUUUUGAAUUCCACGGUGUUCAAGAAGCUGAACUCAAGUGUUUUCACCAGCCUUUAGGUACCACAUUGCUCUACAACAUUUCCAUAUCUGUGCUCAGUUAUUCAGGUUUAAAGGCUUGCAGUUUUGGGUAAGACCCCAAAAAGAGCCUCUAAGCUGGUCAUAAAUUCUUUCUUGCUAUAUAACAUGGCAUCCAACAGCUUCAUGACUGCACACUGAUGAAUUCCCCAAAUUCCAGCAAUUACUGUUGUGUCAAUGCCCUGAAGUUUCCAAAGGUGAACUUGCUUCCACUGUGUGUCCAAGUCUGAAAUUCAUCUGUUCCAGGUUUGGAAGCCAGUCUGUGAGGAAUCCCCUCCCACUGAAAGCAGAGGGACUACUCUGGUGUUAAAAAGCUGUGAUUUGAGUUAAAUUAGAUUUAAAAUAUGUUGUGAAGUGCUUGCAAAUCUUUCACUGAAGUACAGCAAUUCUUUCACUAAAAAGAGUGAGAUGAGUAAAAGCAAGUAUUCGUAGGCUUAUUUUCUUGCAUCCCUCAAAUCUUGUGAAAGAAGUACCCCACUUCAUGUCAGAGUGAUAGCAAAGUUUCUGACACUUACAGUCUAUUUCAAAGAGUAGAUAUAUUUUGAAAUGGGCCACAAUAUACAUGUAAUUUAUGUAUAGCCACAAAUGAUACAAUGGGAUUAUAUAUAUGAUUAGUUGUGCAGUUGAAUCUUUCUGCUGUGCCAUGCUCAGAUGAUAAAGUAAGAGGGAUUCAGAUUACUCAAUUUUUCUUUUAAGCAGCAUCUUUUCUGAGCCACAAAUACAUGGUUCAGGAGUAAUUGAUUUUCUCUAGUAGGGUGCAUGGAUUACAUCCUAGCAGGAGAAAAGUAGUGUUAAACUGUCAGUUAUGCUAAAUGUCAGUUUUCAUUGUCACAGUGGUUUUGGUCUUCUUGCUAAGAUUAUCUUCAUC